rnacentral:rRNA from 1 species
UCCAGACUCCUACGGGAGGCAGCAGUGGGGGAUAUUGCACAAUGGGGGAAACCCUGAUGCAGCGACGCCGCGUGGGUGAAGAAGCGCCUCGGCGCGUAAAGCCCUGUCAGCAGGGAAGAAAAUGACGGUACCUGAUUAAGAAGCCCCGGCUAACUACGUGCCAGCAGCCGCGGUAAUACGUAGGGGGCAAGCGUUAUCCGGAUUUACUGGGUGUAAAGGGAGCGUAGACGGUGAUGCAAGUCAGAAGUGAAAGCCCGGGGCUCAACUCCGGGACUGCUUUGGAAACUGUGCAGCUAGAGUGCAGGAGAGGUAAGUGGAAUUCCUAGUGUAGCGGUGAAAUGCGUAGAUAUUAGGAGGAACACCAGUGGCGAAGGCGGCUUACUGGACUGUAACUGACGUUGAGGCUCGAAAGCGUGGGGAGCAAACAGGAUUAGAUACCCUUGUAAC